rnacentral:tRNA from 1 species
AAAGUUUUAUUAUAAAUUAGUAUAAUUCAUUGUCAUUGAAUAAGUUAAAACUUUA